rnacentral:rRNA from 1 species
UACAGAGGUCCCAAGCGUUGUUCGGAUUCACUGGGCGUAAAGGGUGCGUAGGUGGUGGGGUAAGUCGGAUGUGAAAGCUCGGAGCUCAACUCCGAAAUGGCAUUGGAAACUACCCUGCUAGAGGAUUGGAGGGGGGACUGGAAUUCUUGGUGUAGCAGUGAAAUGCGUAGAUAUCAAGUGGAACACCAGUGGCGAAGGCGAGUCCCUGGACAAUACCUGACACUGAGGCACGAAAGCUAGGGGAGCAAACAGG